UACGUAGGGUCCGAGCGUUGUCCGGAUUUAUUGGGCGUAAAGAGCUCGUAGGCGGUUCCGUAAGUCAGAUGUGAAAACUCAGGGCUCAACCCGGAGACGCCAUCUGAUACUGCGGUGACUGGAGUCUGGUAGGGGAACACGGAAUUCCUGGUGUAGCGGUGAAAUGCGCAGAUAUCAGGAGGAACACCGAUGGCGAAGGCAGUGUUCUGGGCCAGUACUGGCGCUGAGGAGCGAAAGCGUGGGGAGCAAACAGG
rnacentral:rRNA from 1 species